AGCCUGACCAGCCCCACCUGCAGCUUCCACACACUCCUGUAGCUGCUCCUGCGGGCUCAGCAGCAUUAUUUAAACCCAGCCCAGGGCUAGCAGCCUUUGUCUGGCUUGAGCUGCUGUUGGUUUCUGCCUCUGCCAUAGCUGUGGAUUCUCUUGAACUGAACCUCUGGGCUGGCUUGACCUGGCUAGUUCAUAAAUAAAAUAUCAAAAUUUGACAAAGAAAACAGAACCUGAGAAUUACUGAUUAACAGAACUCACCAAAUCUUACAUGUAAACCAGGAAUGACCAGUGGUCGUUAUUCUCUAAGUCAUGUGCCAAAUCUUACUGAAGUCAAAAGUCACAGAGAUGCCCCAGAUUUUGGAGGCCCAACAUAAAAAGCAUCCCUGCGAGUGAUUUUCAGGCACAAUUGGUGCUGAUGAUAUCCAAGAGCUUCGCUGCUCCCAGGUGACAGACAAUAAAUCAAGGAUCCAGCUGGAAUCUCCAGAGCAGGAACUCAUCACCUCCCCGUUGUUUGCUGCCUGUCACAGUCCGUGUUUCUGAUGAACUCACCCGCCUGGUGCCAGCACAGCCCCACAGGGAUGACCCGGCAGGAGCACUGCAGCCACCGAGACCUGGUUGUGACACAAAUGUAUCCAAGAGCCAGAACUAUUAACUCAUUUCAUUCAAUGUGAGGUAAUCUCAAAAACAUGUUUCUGCUUACAGGUAACCAUGCACAUUCUAUGUGCAAAAAUAUAAUCAUGUUUGGGGUGCACUAAAGAGAUUAAAAUUAUCAUGUAGUUUUAAUAAAAUAUUCUACCUGUUUCAGCUAAAA